AUGAACGCUAGCUACAGGCUUAACACAUGCAAGUCGAGGGGCAGCAUGGUCUUAGCUUGCUAAGGCCGAUGGCGACCGGCGCACGGGUGAGUAACACGUAUCCAACCUGCCGUCUACUCUUGGACAGCCUUCUGAAAGGAAGAUUAAUACAAGAUGGCAUCAUGAGUUCACAUGUUCACAUGAUUAAAGGUAUUCCGGUAGACGAUGGGGAUGCGUUCCAUUAGAUAGUAGGCGGGGUAACGGCCCACCUAGUCUUCGAUGGAUAGGGGUUCUGAGAGGAAGGUCCCCCACAUUGGAACUGAGACACGGUCCAAACUCCUACGGGAGGCAGCAGUGAGGAAUAUUGGUCAAUGGGCGAGAGCCUGAACCAGCCAAGUAGCGUGAAGGAUGACUGCCCUAUGGGUUGUAAACUUCUUUUAUAAAGGAAUAAAGUCGGGUAUGGAUACCCGUUUGCAUGUACUUUAUGAAUAAGGAUCGGCUAACUCCGUGCCAGCAGCCGCGGUAAUACGGAGGAUCCGAGCGUUAUCCGGAUUUAUUGGGUUUAAAGGGAGCGUAGAUGGAUGUUUAAGUCAGUUGUGAAAGUUUGCGGCUCAACCGUAAAAUUGCAGUUGAUACUGGAUAUCUUGAGUGCAGUUGAGGCAGGCGGAGUUCGUGGUGUAGCGGUGAAAUGCUUAGAUAACACGAAGAACUCCGAUUGCGAAGGCAGCCUGCUAAGCUGCAACUGACAUUGAGGCUCGAAAGUGUGGGUAUCAAACAGGAUUAGAUACCCUGGUAGUCCACACGGUAAACGAUGAAUACUCGCUGUUUGCGAUAUACAGCAAGCGGCCAAGCGAAAGCGUUAAGUAUUCCACCUGGGGAGUACGCCGGCAACGGUGAAACUCAAAGGAAUUGACGGGGGCCCGCACAAGCGGAGGAACAUGUGGUUUAAUUCGAUGAUACGCGAGGAACCUUACCCGGGCUUGAAAGUUAGCGACGAUUCUUGAAAGAGGAUUUCCCUUCGGGGCGCGAAACUAGGUGCUGCAUGGUUGUCGUCAGCUCGUGCCGUGAGGUGUCGGCUUAAGUGCCAUAACGAGUGCAACCCUUGUUGUCAGUUACUAACAGGUUCCGCUGAGGACUCUGACAAGACUGCCAUCGUAAGAUGUGAGGAAGGUGGGGAUGACGUCAAAUCAGCACGGCCCUUACGUCCGGGGCUACACACGUGUUACAAUGGGGGGUACAGAGGGCCGCUACCACGCGAGUGGAUGCCAAUCCCCAAAACCUCUCUCAGUUCGGACUGGAGUCUGCAACCCGACUCCACGAAGCUGGAUUCGCUAGUAAUCGCGCAUCAGCCACGGCGCGGUGAAUACGUUCCCGGGCCUUGUACACACCGCCCGUCAAGCCAUGGGAGCCGGGGGUACCUGAAGUGCGUAACCGCGAGGAGCGCCCUAGGGUAAAACUGGUGACUGGGGCU
rnacentral:rRNA from 1 species